GUCUAAAGAAGAUUUAGAUCUGAAUUGACUGAUCAUCGCUUUGAAGGCCACCAGGAACAAUUAUGGUAAUCCAGUACAAUUUUGUCUAGAUGAUAGGCUGUAGCAUUUUGCCUAGUGGUUGUUUGCAUAGCAUCCAUAAUACUGGCUGAGUUCAUAGAAUAUUGUUUUGAAAAGUUGCGGCUCUUGACUUUAAGUUUUCAUAUGAUUGAAAAUCCAUCUUAAUGGAAACCUUUUGGGGAAACUUCUCUGGGUUAUAUUCAACAAAUUUCUACUCUGAACAGAUCCAUUGACCCAAAUUAGACAUGUAUAUCAAUUUCAAUGGGCCUACUGUGGGUAUUACUAACAUUGGACAGAACCUCUGUAUGUCAUAGACAAGACCAACUACUCAUCCAUUGACCGGUAUUAUCCUAUUAUUUUCUAAACAAUACCUAUACAGUACUGUUCUGUACCAUCUCAAUUCUCUAUACUGGCCUCUUUUAUUCUGAGAUGGAGUUUAGAUCUACAGAGCUCUCAAAGGCUGGGUCUUGGCACCAACUCUCUCUUGAAAGCUGGCAGUAACCUUGUGUCAUUGCCCUCCGUGAGCCAGUAGACUCGCUCUUCUAUUAAACUCACCACUCACAUUGAUCAUUAAAAUGCUCAUCUUGGGUACCCAACUCUCAUUUAGACAAACAAGGAAUAAGAAGCAGCUUCUGGCUUGUCCUUCGGUUCUGACUUACUCUUCAAUCCCACCAAUUGGCGUUUCUCCUGGAUCCUGGUCCCUGGCUCAGACUGUGGUCCACAGCUUGGCCCUGACUUGCAAUAAUUUCCCAAACUCCAGUGGCUUGCAGAUGCUACAGUGCUGGGUGAUGAACAUGUGUAGUUGUUCCAACAGUGAACUGAUAGUUUGCUGGCUUAUCAUCAGACAACCAGUGUUGGGAGUAGCACUUGGAAAAAAUGUUGCUCAAACUGGGAAGGGGGAGAAGCUUAGACAGAAAGGUACCCUAUUCUUCCCUCACUGAUUCCUUAUUAAGUAACUACCUUUAGAUUGUUUCCCACCCCCCUCAGGCUUAACUUUCUCCUCCUUGAGUAACUUAGUAUUAGACCUAUCUUGUGUUGAACUCAUGAUGACCCUAUAGUACUCAGGAUGGCUUUGUUUGCCUGGAGUAAUAAACCUUAACUUGCUUUAUUCUUCCAACACCACCAGACUGUUUCUUUCUGCACCUGGGUGCUAUAUAUAACAAACUCACUUCAACUCUGUAUGUUACAAAUUACAAAAUACAAUUCCCUCAAAUGGACUCUUGUUUCCUCAUCUUAGCAGGUGUGUAUAGAUGCGUGAGAGAAGACCGACUGAUCGACAAGACAAAGCCCCUUCAACAAGCUUUGGUGGCUGUGUCCUUCAAAACACUCAAGAGAGGACUCCGGGUGGCAGGAGGCCACCUCUUGACAACUAGCUCCCAUAAAGAGAUGUCAGCCAACCACACAGGACUGUCCACCAGCACUCUACCUAACAAACAGAAUGGACAACCAGCAGUCUCUAACGCCAUGACCCUGAGGUAGCCAACAUGGUGCCCAUCUGAUAUUGUUAGAUUCCAGCUCCCAUUAGCCCCAGCCAACAUGGCCAAUGGUUGAGAUGCUUGGAGUUGCAGUCCAACGACAUCUGGAGGUCAUGACGUUGUCUCUCUCUGCCGUAAAAGCUCUACUGGUGUCUUAGACUAUAAACACAUUUCUGUUUGCGUGAUGGCCUUAGGCCACCUUGGAAAUGAAGAUGCUCACGGCAUUCAUGUUUGUUGCAGCUCCUCAGAAAUGCUCUCUAGUCGCGUUUACCUCCUGGUCAAGAGAGUUUGGAUCAUAUAGCUCACAUACUUCACUCCUAGCCUUCCUGGUACAUGCAUUAUUUACCACAAGGCAAUUUAAUUUGGGCUUAGUAAUUACUGUUUUCCCAUUUAUUGUGAUCAAAUUACGCCUAGCAUGUUUCCAUUUUGCAAGGUAAAUUUCCUCCCAGUAACUCCAAUCUACUCUAUAUGAAAUCUGAUUGAAAUAGACAACUAACUUUUGAUUCAUGCCCACAGCGCCUCAAAGCACCACAGCAGGUGGAGAGGGUGUUGAAACAAAUCAAGAGGCAGCCCAUAGAACUAGCUGACCUCUCAGUGGCCUUGAUUUGUAAAGGCAAGUCUGGCUUUUGUGAAUUUCUAACAGUGCGAUGCUUACAAAGUGCAAAUCUCCACCCCACCCCCCUAAGUUCCCUUAGCAGUUGGCAUAUAUUACGUGCACACACACACACACACACACACACACACACAGCAGGCUCCUGUCUGCCAGCACUCGGGUGAUUUUUCUGUCUGCACCUCCUCUGUGCACAAAGGCAGAAAUUUUGCAAGUUCUUGAAAAAUGCUUCACAGUGGUUAUUUUAUUAUUGCAGAUGCAGAAUGUUUUGCAAAGGUCGCCAGAGGAUGAGGGUUCCCUCCCCACACACACUUCUGUAAGCACAGCAUAGAGGUCCUUCUAAACUACGUGUUGGGUAUUUUGAUUAGUUGGAGCUGCAAAUGUAUAUGCUAUAAUUACCUUAAUUCCAUGUUAUUGUGGUGGGAAGCCAACUCCUGUAGUGUGGACGGG